GCUGGACACAGGCAGCCGACGAGGGCGAAGAGCCGGGCCUGGGAGAGGACAGGCCCUCAGGCAGAGUGGCUGGUGAGGACGGGAGGCAGGAGGGCGGUGGGGCAGGGCCCGCAGGUGGACCGUGGAGGGGCCUCCCCUGGCUCCAGCUGGUCUGGUCAGAAAAGCCAGACGAGGUGGCCUGCACUUCUGGCAGCGGGAAUGGGGCUCGGAAGCUUCAAGACAGCUUUUCAUCCCCAGCACCUACCAACAGCUUUUCAUUUUCUAAGAUGGUUUUUACUGUCAUUACCCCCCAGAAAAGUGGUGAGUCCCUCCUUGGGUUUCUGUUCAUCUCUGGGGGUCCCCUGAUUCAUGCUUGCUUGGUGAGAGGCUGCUUAUCUGCUCUCACCGGCCCCUGAACAAAGAGAACUGGGGCCCAGUGUGCCCGCUGGGCCCCAGUGUGCCCACUGUCCACCAGGCACGGGGGACGGCUCUGUGACCCUUCUGGAAACGGAAGAGCAUCUGCCCAGUUCCCUGGCUUCUGACCGUCCACCAGCCCUGUACCGUCUUCCCCCGCGGAAGGUGCUCUCAAAUAUUCCUUCCAAGACAGUCCUAGUGUCUUCUAGGGUCCCUCAGUCUUGAGUUCCAGCUUUCAUGAUCAGGCCCAGGCCUCACUCUUUUCCCGGACCCCACGUUUCCAGACACAUUGGGACUAGCGGCUGGCCGGGCGUCUCUUGGAUGGAGACGCUGAAGACUCCUCGGCUGAUCUGAGAAACGUGAGAACAGGGCUGGGAAAAUCGGCCGUUUUUGUGGUUUGGGGGUUUGAAGCAAGUUUCACAACUGAUCUCCCAAGAACAUGGUCCAGUCAGAUGCGCUCCCCGCGCGGGGGCCCGGUUCCCCGCUGGCUCCGGUGCUGACCGCUCUUCUUUGCCGGGUCCAGAGGGGAGGGCUGAGGCAGAGGUGAGGGCCUUUACCCGCCCACCCCACCUGCUCCCUGCUUUCCUUCUCUGGGGGAUGAACUCAAGGAGCUCGAAGAUGAGACUUUGGGGGGGGUUCUUGGGGUUUCUGCCUCAGGCUGUGGCAUCCGAUGAGGUGUCCACUUGGCCCCUCUCACUCCCAUUCUGGAAAUGUUUCAGGGAUGCUCCUGGGGCAGCUGUCCCCUUAAAGCCUUCCUUUGUGGGGACAAAAAGGCCCAAAACUACUUCUACUGCCAUACUCUUGGGCUGGAACUGACUAGCAGUGGUACCUAGAGGGACUUAUUGUGGGGGUUCAGGGAGAGAGGAGGGACCCAAGGGGGACACACCCGCCCACCACGGAUCCCUAGAACUUCCGAUGCCUCUCCCGCAGAUAACACCCAGCUGGGCUGGGGAAGGGGUCCUCCAAGCCCAGCCCUGCCUCCGCGUGGCCUGGCCCCCCAGCUCGUCCUUCCACCCUGGGAAGUCCCAAGCACCCUCAGGCCAGCUGGGGCAGAACUGAAAUUGGUGACAUCUGUCUCUUUGGCCCCUUGGCUCCGGCCCCCGCCCACUCACCCCAGAGUCAUCCUGCAGGAGCCUCCAGACCUGGGAGGAACAGCAUGCUAUGUCCUCCCGGGGUGAGCCCCGCUUUCUUGCCUUCCAUACCCCCACCCGCUCUGGCCCGGCUGGUGAGAUCCUCACCCGCCAUCUCUCUGGUCAGGGGUUUGGUGGGCGGGGGUCCUGCGUGUCCCUCAGACCCUCCGUUUCCCACCCCACAUAGCAGAGGGGGGACAUUCCCGCUCCAGGGGGCAGGGUGAGGCAAGGGGACAGAGCCCAGCUUCCUUCCUCUGCUGAGGGCGCUGGGACCGUCCUGUGUGCAGUGACCUAGCAAGGGUGGAACUGGGGACGGAGCCGCUGGGAAAACAGAGCCGGGGCUCGGAGUCACCCGACUCACGGCCAGGGAGACAGACAGUCGCGUGCUCAGUCAGGGGAGUGGUCCGGUGAUCACACGGACGUGGUGGGUGGAGGAGAGUCGGGCCGGCUCUGCAGGGAGGGAGUCCUCCAGGCAACACUCAGGGGCCAGGGAGAGGUGUGGGGCCAGAGACACACACGUGGGUGUUCGGGAAGUUUCCAGCGGUGGCACGGAGCCCCCUCAGCAGAACCAGAUGCGCGUGGACAGUCGAACACGGGGCGGUGGACAAUUAGCCAGCAUCUGAGAAAGCCUUCAUGAGUCUGCCCUUCAGGGGGAUGAAACUACGCAUGGACGAGGAUGGCCGUGCGGGGGUCAGGCAGGGAUGCCCAGACACGGCUGGGCAGGCCGGGCCCAGGCAGGCUAGGGUUUUCUGGGUACAUCUGCUGGGUGCUCGUGUCCCCCUUCCCGUUCCCUAUCCAUAUACCCCCUCCCAGCUUCCUGUUUCUGUUUUGGGGCCACAGGAACUUCCUCUUCUCAUCAUGGUUCAAAAUGGCUUGCUGGUCUCAGUUGGAGGCCCAGUGGCGGCAGGGCGGGGGGGGCUGGUCACCCCAGCCCAACAGCCAGCUGGAGAGGGAGGGAGAGAGGGGCUCUGUAUCCCCGGAUGUGGUGGGCCCACGGAGGUGUGAGCUGGCCCCUCCCACAGUUCUCCCUGAACAAACUUUGCUGGUUCGUUGGAUGCAGCUUCCGGCGUGAGUGCUCUCAGGGCCAAGGUGGGCUGGGUCCUGCUGGACUGACCUUGAGCAGCCCCCGUGCCCCCUUCCUGCCUCAGACGGAAGGCCAGGAGGAUCUCUCGCUCUCCCUGUCUUCCUGCUUCCUCUCAGGCGUACUAGAACUUGACAGAGUUGCUCGUGGGCUGCAAGGCAUUGGCCCAGGGUGUGGACGCAGCAUGGCCCCACCGGGAGCAGAGCUGCAGGGCCGGCCUGGCCCAGGGAGUGCCUGGGUGCGUGCAUGCCCCAGUGAGCGUGUGGGAUCCUGUGGAACGUGCAUGUGUGUGUAAGUGUGCAGGUCUCCCUGGGUGAGCGUGCUUUCCUGCGUGUCUAGAGGGCACCACCUCUCUCCUCUUAACCAGCACCCUGCGCAGAGUUUGCCCUUUAAAUGAAGGUAAGCUGUGUCUCAAGAGCCCCUGAGCCCGCCCUCAAGGGAGGGGGCUACCCUGACCCUGCUGACUCCUUAGGGGUGCCUCAGGUGGGUGUGGGGCCCAGCCUUGCACAGGGCCCAGGGUGUGGGAGGCAGGAUAUGCUGGCGUGUGCCAGGGAGGGUACACAGGGCAGUCCUCCAACGUGCCGCCUUGGAACCACCAUGAUCCCCGAGGGAUGUAAGGCCAGUAAAAAGGGCCGCUGCAUGCAGGCCUGGACACCUCCUAGACACCCCUGGGUGGUGUGGGGAUAGGGCAUGGGGGCACACGUGGGCAGGGCUGCUGAGAACCUCAAUUCACGCCACCUCACUGCUCACCCAGUAGGACCAGGAUGGACCCGAGGAUCCAGAUGCUUCUUCCCAGGGGCUGUGGCCAGGGUCAAGGUCCUGGGGAUCUGGAUAGCCCCCUGCCUGGCAGGAGAAAGGGCUCAGUUCCUACUUACCUGUGAAGGACGAGUGAGCUAGAAGAGGACAGCUGCCUCACCCAGAGACAGCCCGCAACCCCCGGAAUCCUCACCCCCAUUCUCCGAGGGCUCUUCGCCCCACUCUCUGUGGCUCAGGCACUGUUGUGACCAUCACCUGCCAUCUCGGGGCACAAGCAUCCAGACGGUCUAUAAACAACCAGGCGUGGCAGCCUUCCAA